rnacentral:rRNA from 1 species
ACGCUGGCGGCGUGCUUAACACAUGCAAGUCGAACGAAACACCUUAUUUGAUUUUCUUCGGAACUGAAGAUUUGGUGAUUGAGUGGCGGACGGGUGAGUAACGCGUGGGUAACCUGCCCUGUACAGGGGGAUAACAGUCAGAAAUGACUGCUAAUACCGCAUAAGACCACAGCACCGCAUGGUGCAGGGGUAAAAACUCCGGUGGUACAGGAUGGACCCGCGUCUGAUUAGCUGGUUGGUGAGGUAACGGCUCACCAAGGCGACGAUCAGUAGCCGGCUUGAGAGAGUGAACGGCCACAUUGGGACUGAGACACGGCCCAAACUCCUACGGGAGGCAGCAGUGGGGAAUAUUGCACAAUGGGGGAAACCCUGAUGCAGCGACGCCGCGUGAGUGAAGAAGUAUCUCGGUAUGUAAAGCUCUAUCAGCAGGGAAGAAAAUGACGGUACCUGACUAAGAAGCCCCGGCUAACUACGUGCCAGCAGCCGCGGUAAUACGUAGGGGGCAAGCGUUAUCCGGAAUUACUGGGUGUAAAGGGUGCGUAGGUGGUAUGGCAAGUCAGAAGUGAAAACCCAGGGCUUAACUCUGGGACUGCUUUUGAAACUGUCAGACUGGAGUGCAGGAGAGGUAAGCGGAAUUCCUAGUGUAGCGGUGAAAUGCGUAGAUAUUAGGAGGAACAUCAGUGGCGAAGGCGGCUUACUGGACUGAAACUGACACUGAGGCACGAAAGCGUGGGGAGCAAACAGG